UACGUAGGGUGCAAGCGUUGUCCGGAAUUAUUGGGCGUAAAGAGCUCGUAGGCGGUCUGUCGCGUCGAAUGUGAAAACCCGGGGCUCAACCCCGGGCCUGCAUUCGAUACGGGCAGACUAGAGUUCGGUAGGGGAGUCUGGAAUUCCUGGUGUAGCGGUGAAAUGCGCAGAUAUCAGGAGGAACACCGGUGGCGAAGGCGGGUCUCUGGGCCGAUACUGACGCUCAUGCACGAAAGCGUGGGGAGCAAACAGG
rnacentral:rRNA from 1 species